UACGUAGGGUCCGAGCGUUGUCCGGAAUUAUUGGGCGUAAAGGGCUCGCAGGCGGUUCUGCGCGUCGGAUGUGAAAGACCCUGGCUCAACCGGGGGUGGCAUUCGAGACGGCAGGACUGGAGGCCAGUAGGGGGAUGCGGAAUUCCGGGUGUAGUGGUGGAAUGCGUAGAGAUCCGGAGGAACACCAGCGGCGAAGGCGGCAUCCUGGACUGGACCUGACGCUCAGGAGCGAAAGCGUGGGGAGCGAUCCGG
rnacentral:rRNA from 1 species